AUAGAUACAGCAUUAUAUUUGAACUUUUAUUCGUAUUGAUACAAAAAAUCAUGAAGAACUUCUCCAGCAUAGCUUUCUUUAUAUUUGCCCUCUUUGUUCUUCUUGGUAAGUUGCAUCUCCAUAUGUCUAAUUCUUUUAAUUGAUGGAAAUCUUAUUAAAUAGUUGUUCAAUUUUCUAAUCUCAAAAUGUUUUUAUUUUUGUCGAAACAAAUGAAGACGCUAAAACAAGCCUCGGAGAUCAAGAAAUAUGUAAAAUUCAACCCCCGGGAGCUGCCACACCUUGUGAAAUAAUAAACUGCUCCAACACAUGCGACAAGUUCAAAGGAAAGCCUGCACCUCCUGGUAUUUCUGGACCAUUAUUUGGGGCGAGUUGCUCUGCGACUGAUACUUGUAUUUGCAUUUUCUGUUGUAAACCCCAGUGCAAAUAAUAUCUCUGUAUAUCAGUUCGCCGUUUUUCAUUUAUCGAUAUCGUAUUGAGGUUUGAUUAAAUUUAAAUAUUAGCCAAUUUUCUUGCUAGCCAUUUCUCGAUGGAAUAAUUAAAUUUAUACUGUUCCUUUUUGUUAUGGUGUCAGAUUCCCCUUUGCUUUUGAGGUAGUGGCUUUUUAAACCCAAAGUGAAAUUAAUUCUCUUUAAUUUGUCAUAGGUAUUCACAAAUCUUUAGAAAAUUCAUAGGCACUCUCAAUAAUAAACAGAAGUUUCACCCAGGAAGUAUUUCAUUGUCUAAGGGGUAUAUGAGCGAGACUUUAAAACUUAUACUAAUGAUAAUGUAAUAAUUAACAAUUUGGAAUUGAGCAUAAUAAUUGUUAAUU
rnacentral:lncRNA from 1 species